rnacentral:tRNA from 1 species
GCGCCUGUGGCCCAACCGGAUAGGGCAUCUGGCUUCGGACCAGAGGGUUGUGGGUUCGAAUCCUACCAGGCGCG